rnacentral:rRNA from 1 species
GAUGAACGCUGGCGGCGUGCCUAAUACAUGCAAGUCGAGCGAACGGACGAGAAGCUUGCUUCUCUGAUGUUAGCGGCGGACGGGUGAGUAACACGUGGAUAACCUACCUAUAAGACUGGGAUAACUUCGGGAAACCGGAGCUAAUACCGGAUAAUAUUUUGAACCGCAUGGUUCAAAAGUGAAAGACGGUCUUGCUGUCACUUAUAGAUGGAUCCGCGCUGCAUUAGCUAGUUGGUAAGGUAACGGCUUACCAAGGCAACGAUGCAUAGCCGACCUGAGAGGGUGAUCGGCCACACUGGAACUGAGACACGGUCCAGACUCCUACGGGAGGCAGCAGUAGGGAAUCUUCCGCAAUGGGCGAAAGCCUGACGGAGCAACGCCGCGUGAGUGAUGAAGGUCUUCGGAUCGUAAAACUCUGUUAUUAGGGAAGAACAUAUGUGUAAGUAACUGUGCACAUCUUGACGGUACCUAAUCAGAAAGCCACGGCCAACUACGUGCCAGCAGCCGCGGUAAUACGUAGGUGGCAAGCGUUAUCCGGAAUUAUUGGGCGUAAAGCGCGCGUAGGCGGUUUUUUAAGUCUGAUGUGAAAGCCCACGGCUCAACCGUGGAGGGUCAUUGGAAACUGGAAAACUUGAGUGCAGAAGAGGAAAGUGGAAUUCCAUGUGUAGCGGUGAAAUGCGCAGAGAUAUGGAGGAACACCAGUUGCGAAGGCGACUUUCUGGUCUGUAACUGACGCUGAUGUGCGAAAGCGUGGGGAUCAAACAGGAUUAGAUACCCUGGUAGUCCACGCCGUAAACGAUGAGUGCUAAGUGUUAGGGGGUUUCCGCCCCUUAGUGCUGCAGCUAACGCAUUAAGCACUCCGCCUGGGGAGUACGACCGCAAGGUUGAAACUCAAAGGAAUUGACGGGGACCCGCACAAGCGGUGGAGCAUGUGGUUUAAUUCGAAGCAACGCGAAGAACCUUACCAAAUCUUGACAUCCUUUGACAACUCUAGAGAUAGAGCUUUCCCCUUCGGGGGACAAAGUGACAGGUGGUGCAUGGUUGUCGUCAGCUCGUGUCGUGAGAUGUUGGGUUAAGUCCCGCAACGAGCGCAACCCUUAAGCUUAGUUGCCAUCAUUAAGUUGGGCACUCUAAGUUGACUGCCGGUGACAAACCGGAGGAAGGUGGGGACGACGUCAAAUCAUCAUGCCCCUUAUGAUUUGGGCUACACACGUGCUACAAUGGACAAUACAAAGGGCAGCGAAACCGCGAGGCCAAGCAAAUCCCAUAAAGUUGUUCUCAGUUCGGAUUGUAGUCUGCAACUCGACUACAUGAAGCUGGAAUCGCUAGUAAUCGUAGAUCAGCAUGCUACGGUGAAUACGUUCCCGGGUCU